rnacentral:rRNA from 1 species
AACGAACGCUGGUGGCGUGCUUAACACAUGCAAGUCGAACGAGAAAGUUUCCUUCGGGAAAUUAGUAAAGUGGCGCAAGGGUGAGUAUCACGUGAAUAAUCUGCCCUCGAGAUCGGGAUAACAUGGUGAAAACUAUGCUAAUACCGGAUAAGACCACAUUUCAUAAGAAAUGCGGUAAAAGGAGUCUCAAUCUUCACUCGAGGAUGAGUUCGCGCAACAUUAGCUUGUUGGUGAGAUAAAAGCUCACCAAGGCUACGAUGUUUAGCCGGCCUGAGAGGGUGAACGGCCACACUGGAACUGAGACACGGUCCAGACUCCUACGGGAGGCAGCAGUGGGGAAUAUUGCACAAUGGGCGCAAGCCUGAUGCAGCAAUGCCGCGUGUGUGAAG